rnacentral:rRNA from 1 species
AGACGUAGGGCGCGAGCGUUGUCCGGAUUUAUUGGGCGUAAAGAGCUCGUAGGCGGCUUGUCGCGUCGACCGUGAAAACCUGUGGCUUAACCAUAGGCUUGCGGUCGAUACGGGCAGGCUAGAGUGCGGCAGGGGAGACUGGAAUUCCUGGUGUAGCGGUGAAAUGCGCAGAUAUCAGGAGGAACACCGGUGGCGAAGGCGGGUCUCUGGGCCGCUACUGACGCUGAGGAGCGAAAGCGUGGGGAGCGAACAGGAUUAGAUACCCUGGUAGUCCACGCUGUAAACGUUGGGCGCUAGGUGUGGGGAGCGUCUCCGGUUCUCCGUGCCGUAGCUAACGCAUUAAGCGCCCCGCCUGGGGAGUACGGUCGCAAGGCUGAA